rnacentral:rRNA from 1 species
UACGGGGGGGGCAAGCGUUGUUCGGAAUUACUGGGCGUAAAGGGCUCGUAGGCGGCCAACUAAGUCGGAUGUGAAAUCCCCAGGCUCAACCUGGGAACUGCAUCCGAUACUGGAUGGCUUGAAUUCGGGAGAGGGAUGCAGAAUUCCAGGUGUAGCGGUGAAAUGCGUAGAUAUCAGGAGGAACACCGGUGGCGAAGGCGCACACCUGGCCCGAUACUGACGCUGAGGCGCGAAAGCUAGGGGAGCAAACGGG